rnacentral:RNase_P_RNA from 5 species
AACAGUUUUCGGAUAAUCGCGCGAUUUUUUUGUAAAUCGUGAGGAAAGUCCAUGCUCGCGCGUUGCUGAGAUGCACGCAGUGAUUGUGCUAGGUCAAACAAUAAACCUAGGUAGGAGCGUCAUGCCUAACGGCUGGCCAAAACGCUAAGUCUUUUGAUAUGCGUGAGUAGCCUGUAAAAGUGCCAUAGAGACGAGUCUUAGAGGAAACUCUAAGAAUGGAACGUGGUAAACCCCUCAAGCGAGCAACCCAAACUUAUGGUCGGGGCACUUGACUAGCCAAAAUGAAGGCGUGGUCGAGGCUGAAAUUAAGAAUUUUGGCAGACAGAUGAUUAUCGAAGGGGAGAUUCACGAAUGUGAAUUGAACUGGAACAAAACAUGGCUUAUAGAAAACUGUAUGAC